GAUGAACGCUGGCGGCGUGCUUAACACAUGCAAGUCGAACGAAGCACUUUAUUUGAUUUCCUUCGGGACUGAUUAUUUUGUGACUGAGUGGCGGACGGGUGAGUAACGCGUGGGUAACCUGCCUUGUACAGGGGGAUAACAGUUGGAAACGGCUGCUAAUACCGCAUAAGCGCACGGCAUCGCAUGAUGCAGUGUGAAAAACUCCGGUGGUAUAAGAUGGACCCGCGUUGGAUUAGCUAGUUGGUGAGGUAACGGCUCACCAAGGCGACGAUCCAUAGCCGACCUGAGAGGGUGACCGGCCACAUUGGGACUGAGACACGGCCCAAACUCCUACGGGAGGCAGCAGUGGGGAAUAUUGCACAAUGGGCGAAAGCCUGAUGCAGCGACGCCGCGUGAGCGAAGAAGUAUUUCGGUAUGUAAAGCUCUAUCAGCAGGGAAGAUAAUGACGGUACCUGACUAAGAAGC
rnacentral:rRNA from 1 species